GAAAUAAACCCAAGGGACAACAGGACAUGAGCUCAAUGCAUGGACUCUCAGCUGGUCAGCUGAUUUGUGCAGAACCAGGGAACCUGCAUUUUCUACCAGAUGUGUCAGAAGAGCUGUUAAGAUUUGAUAGUGACUGGAAUGACAAAUGCAACAAGAGAAAGAGGGCUUGUAGUGAGAGAAAACUGUUGAAAACUGUGGAGUUUCCAUUGGACAGCACAAGCUUUGAGGGCUCAGAACCACCACAGAACACCUGUCUGCCUGGCACGGUUCUCUUCUCCCACAAAACAAGCUUGCCAUCUUCUGGCCAGGCCACCAAGCAUCAUGGGGCUGGCUGGAAAUGCACUCUCAAGUGUCUAUACCACCCAGGCUGUUAACACAAACACCCAAGGAAGCAGUUUGAAGUGAAAUUUUGCUUUGGGAAGUUCCCCUAUCAAGAAGAAUUUAGCUUUCAAACUGUGCAAAAUCCAUCUUUCUUGAUUCAUAAAGAUUUUCAUGAGUUUUUGUUUCUGUCUUCAUACCU
rnacentral:lncRNA from 1 species